rnacentral:rRNA from 1 species
CAGUCGCCGCGGUAAUACGGAGGGUGCAAGCGUUAUCCGGAUUUAUUGGGUUUAAAGGGUCCGUAGGCGGAUCUGUAAGUCAGUGGUGAAAUCUCACAGCUUAACUGUGAAACUGCCAUUGAUACUGCAGGUCUUGAGUAAAUUUGAAGUGGCUGGAAUAAGUAGUGUAGCGGUGAAAUGCAUAGAUAUUACUUAGAACACCAAUUGCGAAGGCAGGUCACUAAGAUUUAACUGACGCUGAUGGACGAAAGCGUGGGGAGCGAACAGGAUUAGAUACCCGGGUAGUCCCUGUCUCUUAUAC